CCUCUCCUAUAUACUCCUGCAGGGAGAAACAGCACCAAAGGCUCAAGCUACGGAGGAAUGGAUCGUCCCCGAUACACCGUUACCUUCUGGCGAAGUUGAGGAGAAAGUGGGAAAAAGGAUCGCUAACUUCUGUAACGGUUGCAAAGUGCAUGUCCUCAGGGAUGGCAAAGUCGUUCGGACUGCUGCAGAUGUGCCCAGAUUAACUAGGCAGGGAAAAGCUGUCAAGAGGCUGUCAAAGAGAUGGGGCUCGUGGUGCGUGUUCUGCUGGGGAUGUAAAGCUCGAGGAAAAUAAUGAAUUAUAUCUGACGACGAAAUACAUGUCCACUGCAAACUGAA